UUGAUACUAGGGCUUCAAUCCCAGGCCUUUGCACUAAGCUAGAUCCCCGAGUGACCCAGACCUGGCUCCAACUUGCAAUCUUCCUGCCUCAGCUUACCAGGUGCUGGGAAUUCAGAGUGCUAGUCCUAUACUUUUUUUUUUUUUCCAGGUACCAGGAAUUGAACUCAAGAACUUGUGCUUGCUAGGCAGGUGCUUGUACUACUGAGCUAUACCCCCAGGCCCUAGCCCAGUAUUCUUUUUUUUUUUUUUUUUUUUUUGCCCAGUACUCUUGAAAGUUCUUUCUCUCUCACUAGUCAAUCCUUUGUUACACUGCUCCCCUGUUUUACUUGGUAAAACUAUUGCAUGGUCCACACAUCUCCUGGUAGGACCCCAAAAGAUAAAGAAUUGCCAUCAGAAAAAAAAAAAAAAAGAAUUGCCAUCAGGAGGGCUUUCAGGUGGCGAGGGACACAUAACAGGUGGGACCUGGGAGAAAGUCUCUAGCUGUGGCUUUGCCCUUGAGUGCAGUGCUGGGUUCCUUGCUAAUAGGAAACAAGAUGCCCACGACUUGAGGCAAGAGGAGACUGCACAGUAGGUCAGGCUACAAGCCGGGUGUGGUGGCACACACCUCUGAUCCCAGCACGCAGGAGUCUGAGGCAGGAGGGUCACCAAGAGUUUGAGGCCAGCCUAGAAGUGAGAACUUGUCUCAAAAAAACCACAUGAUGAUGAUGGUGGUGAUGAAGAAGAAACUGAUAUCAAGUGCACUCAAAAACUUACAGAGAGAAAAGUUCAAAGCUUUAACUUUUCAGCUUACAUCAUCAUCUAAGAAUGAGAGAACUUUCUCAUUUCCUAAAAAAGGGCUGAUAUUUUGGGGGGCCGCUGAGUUACCAUGACAGCCAGAUACAUGCUCUCUCUGUUUUCUCACCUGAGGUGGAGGACAUCGAUAGGUAGACCCAGAAAGAAAUGAAGUGAGCACAGGAGGUGACUGAAGAAUACCAAGAAUAUUCAAAUUUUUAAAAUGUAUUACAGUAAAAGACACAUUGCUAUGAAUCCCCUCAAAAUGCUCCCUUCACUUCAGACACACAUAUCCCACUGUUCGUUAUUUCUUUUUGAGACAGUCUCACUAUGCAGUGCAAGCUGGCCUUGAGCUCACUUUUGUAGCCCAGGCUGACCUAUCUGCUCUACCCUCCUCCUGCUUCAGCUUCCCAGGUACUGACAUUAUAGGGCACCACCUUGCCUGGCCUCUUGUUCUUUUCUAAAGCAGUUCUGGAGUCCUCUUUCCUGAGUGUCUUUAUGAGAUGUGGGGAAAAAUACUGUGAAUGCUGCCGCCCAGCGCCAUCCAACAGAAAAGCUGGCUCAUAAAACCACGACGCUGUGUCCUCAUCCACCAUAAUCACCAGAUCUGGCACCGUGUGACUUCUGGCUUCUCCCCAAAGUCAAAAUGAUCAUGAGGAGGAAACAGUUUGAGUCAUGGGGGACAUCAGGAUCACCAGCGCAGUGCAACUAGGACCUUCAAGAAAGAUGAAUCCAGACUUGCUUCAGAAAGUGAUGGUGCACACCUGUAAUCCCAGCACUCGGGAGCCUGAGGCAGGAGGAUCGCAGCAAGUUCAAGACCACCGGGCUACAAAGUGAGCUCAAGGCCAGGCUGAACUACAUAGCAAGACCCUGUCUCAAAAAAGACAGAAAAAAAAAAAUGACAAGAGUGAUGGGCUAGUUCGGUGCCCGGUACCAAAAUAAAAAAGAACAGUGGGCUAAGUGUGACUGAAGCCAACGGGAAGAUUUGGAGGGUGACUCACUGUCAUGUGCUUUACUUUUUAUUUAUUUAUUUUUUGUCUCUUUCGUUUUUAUUGGUACCAGGGAUCAGACUCAUGAGUGCCUGCUUGCAAGGCAGGCACUUAUGCUGCUGAACUAAAUUCCCAGCCCCUCAUGUGCUUUACUUUGAUCAGGACUUAAACAUUUAAAUACCCUAUUUUAGAUGUGCAUACAUACAGUCAUUGUGAAAGAAAUCUCUGAAAGUUGGUAUUUCCCUCAGCCUUCUGCCAAAAGUGUGUGUGUCUGAGUAUGUCUGAGUGUGAGUGUCUGUGUGUGUGAUGCUGGCGAUCACAUCCAUGGCCUCCUCCUGCUGGGUGACCACGCAUCAACCUCCCUGGCCCUUCCAUGUGUGUCUCCACCUCUGUUCCAUCCAGGCUUUUGAAACCACCCUCAAGUGCUGGCACCAGCGAGGUACAAAGUGCGGAUCCUGGUGACAGUGCACAGAGGUGUCGGUCAGCAGGCCUUUGCCCUUUGGCCGCCUUCCAGCAGGGCCUGGGAGGGCUGCGUGUCAUCCCUGUCCACGUGGACCAGGAGCCCUGCCAUUUUCCAGGCAUGACCUGUGAUGGGCGAGGUCAGUGGCAUUUCUAGAGCAGAGACAUGGAGAGCAGCUCGGGCCCGGAAGGAAAUUCUGCAGGAACUUGGCUCUCAUGACCUGCUCCUGGCUUUGGCAGAGUUGACCGUGUGUGUGUGUGUGUGUGUGUGUGUGUGUGUGUGUGUGUGUGUGCACGCGCACGCCCAUGCGUGUGCAAAGGGCUGGGUCAGAGUGGCCGGAGGGAAGGGGGUGCAGGGCUGUGACCCUGCGCUUGUGUGGCCCUAGGGUCAAAGUAUCCAGCAGCCUUGGUUCUGGAACAUGAAUGUUUUAGUUUCUAUUUUGAUGAAUUAUCUGUAGAUUAUAUGAUUCUAGAUUAGAUGUUUCAGUGUAUGCAAAAAUGUAGAAAAAGUCUGACAUAUAAGAGGUGCCAAAUGAAUGUUAAUUCAAGUAGCUCAUUCUUUUUUUUUUUUUUUUUUUUUUUUUUGUCUUUUUCCUUUUUAGCGGUACUGGGGAUCGAACUCACGACUGCCUGGUUUACCAGGCAGGCACUUAUGCCGCUGAGCUAAAUCCCCAGCCCCAAGUAGCUUAUUCUUUUUCUUUUCUUUCUUUUGUGGGACCAGGGGUUGAACCCAGGCCUGCUGACUUACAUACCCAACCCAGUUUUACUUUCAUACUGAAACAUCUUGCUAAAUUGGCCAGGCUGGACUUGAAUCAGAGAUUCUUCUGCCUCAGCCUCCCCCAGUGCUGGGAUUAUAGGUGUGUUCCAUCAUGCCUGGUUCAGCGAGUUCUUAACUAUUUAAAAUGUUUUACAAGUAUUAUUAUGUAAAAAUAAUUUGUAAGUAUAAUAUAAAAAUCCAAGUCACAUAGAAAAAUGCAGCCAGGUAAUGGUGAUGGUGGCACUGACCUGUAACACAGCAAAAACAAACAACAACAAAAUCAAAGAAAGUAACACAUCAGGAAAUUUCCUACCACCAAGAGACAUUUUUUCCCAGUACUUGGGAUUGAACCCAGGUGUGCUCUAUCACUGAGUUACACCCCAACCCAUUUUAUUUUAUUUUACUUAUUUUAUUGUGAGACAUUGUCUUGCUAAAAUGGCCCAGGCUGCCCUAGAGCUUGAGAGUCUCCUGACUCAGCCUCCCAGGAGUCUGGCAGCCAUGCACCACUGUGUCCCUCCCCGUGAUUCUUCCUCACGGAGUUUCGGGUUCAGCUCAUGGCUGCUGUACUUCCUGAGUGGCUGUGUGUUCCUAAUGCUGCCUGCUGCUUCUGUCCUUGGAUGAAGUCUGAGACCUUCCUGAUCCCUUCCUCUUCCUGAGCCCUGCCUUUGAGCAGUGCCUUCAGCAACAUCUAGUGCUGCCCAUGGCUGUGGAAAAGCCAGGCUGGCUAAGGUCUUCCUGGUGUUUCCCUUAAUCUUGCAGGGCAGUAUCUGGGCCGACACAGGCUCAUGACCAGUCGCUCUACAGUAAUUUUUGCUGUAAUUUUUUUGGUUUUUUGAGACAGGGUCUCACUAUGUAGUUCAGGCCUUUAACUCACUAUGUGGUUCAGGCUGGCCUGGAACUCACAGCGAUCCUCCUGCCUCAGCCUCCUGAGUAUUGAGUUGACGGGCGUGCCCCAUCCAGCCUGGCACUCCAUAGCAGUUUUUGCAGAUCCUGGAUUUCUAUGUAGCUUUUCUGUUUAUUUUUUAGGUUCUCCAUCCUCUAGGUCACCGAUUGACAACCCCAGGGUUAUGCUAUGGUCUCUGCCUAAUUUAUAAUUACUAGAUCACUUUCAGUUGCUUUAAUCUACUUUUUUAAUUCUCUGCAUUCAUGAUGAUCACGUGAAUCAUGUCCUCCGUGAUCAUCAAUUGGAGGUAGCACCCUGUUGGUUCUUCCUGGACUUGUUGUUGUUGGUUUUUUGAGACAGGGUCUCGCUAUGUACUCCAGGCUGGCCUUAAACUCACUAGGUAGCCCCGCUGGCCUGGAACGCCCAGUGAUCCUCUUGCCUCAGCCUCCUGCAUGCUGGGAUGGCAGGCGUGUGGCAUCACACCCAGCUCUUCCUUGCCCCUCACUGAUUAAGGGGUGGUGUUUGGGGUCUGGAUCUGCAUUCUUGGAUUUUAUUGGCUUGUUUUGUUUCUUGGCAGAGCCGGGCAUGGAACCCAGGGUCCCGGCAUGCCAAGCACACAUCUACCACUGAGCUUCAGCACCAGCCCCCCUUCACUAAAGUUCGGAGACAAGAGCUUGCUGAGUUCCCAGGGUGGCCUUAGACUCGUGAUCCUCCUGCCUCAGCGUCCGGGGUGGCCGUGGUUAUAGGGGCCCUCACCACGUCCACCUUCUUGUGCUCUGUGGUGUCUCUUUUCAUCUCAUUCUGUUUCUUUCUCGUUUCUGCUGCCUUAUUCCUUAGUCACCUAGAGUAUGGGCGUUCUGUGGGGCAUUUUAUUCCAACUUGGGGAUACGUUUUCUUCCUCGGUAGCUGCUCCCCGCUUCCUCCUAGCUGGGCUGCCUGCCCUGCCGUGCACACAGUGUCUGCUUCCAGGUCGCUGCCUUUGCCCACACCCAGCCCUUGAAUUCAGCCUAAACCUCAUCUCACUGCUGGACAUUUCUACCUGCAUGGCUGAUAAGCCUCUCAAAGUUAAAAUGUCCUAUGUGAAACCCUUGGUUUUUAUCCUGUGACCUCCACUCAUCUCUUCCUGUGUGGUCUUUUCCCCUGUUGUCCAGCCUGGCUGCUGCAUGGCCCUCCUCCCCCAUCCCUCCCAUUUCUGGUCCUGCCGAGGGGUCUGGGAUUCUUCAGGUCUCUGCCCUCUCCUCCACUGCUGCGUGAUUCAUGGAUCACAGGACUCUGCUCCUUCUUGCACUGUUCUCCCUGCCCAAGUAACCAGUUCUUCCACCCAGGAGCCAGGUGUGGCUUUAAACCCUAGCUUCAAAUUCUUUGAUUGUUCAUGCAUCAACAGUGGAAUUGUUGCCAUAUGUGGUGCACGCCUGUAAUCCCAGCACUCAGGAGGCUGAGGCAGGAGGAUUGCGGUAAGUUGGAGGCCAGUCUGGGCUACAUAAUGGAUUCAAGGCCAGCCUAAACUACAAUAAAACUCUGUCUCAAAAAGAAUGUGGAAUUGUUCUGCACAGCAAAGGAAAUGACUCACAGAGCCAUAGACACUGUACACGAUGGGGAAAGGUUUUGCCAGCCACUCCUCCGACAGAAAACUUGCAUCUAUAAUGUAUAAAGAACUCAGAAUAAAUAGACCUCUCAGUGUGUAAGACCAGGUCAAAACAUGGGCAACAAUAAAUACAUGAAAAAAUGUUUGACCUCUCUGGCCCUUAGAUGCAAAUUAAACCAACACUGAGAAGGGGCUGGGGAUUUAGCUCAGCGGUAUAAGCGCCUGCCUUGCAAGCAGGCAGUCGUGAGUUCAAUCCCCAGUACUGAUAAAAAGAGAAAAAAAAGUGUAAAAAAAAAAAAAAAUCAACACUGAGAUUCCCUCUUAACCCAGAGAGAAUGGCCAUCGGCAAAAAUCAAAUAAUAACAAGUGCUGGCGAGGCUGCAGGGGAAAAAAAUGAACCUUCCCACGUGGCUGGCGGGGAAUGUAACCGGGUACAACCACUAUGGAAAUCAGGACCCAGGUUCUCAGCAAACUAGCACCAGGAAUUCCAUUCAGCCAGGUGUGGGAGGCCAGAUGGGCAGAUUAGGGCCUAAGUGGCCUCUUCCACAGCAGUAGGAAGGAGGCAGUGGGGUGCGUGGCACAGCUGCGUGCAGGCGGCGGUGGGAGACAGAGGCGUCCUGUGCUGCUCGGAUUGCCUGUGCCCGUGUCUCAGUGAAUACAGCCAGGAUGUGCCAGUCACUCAGGGCUCUUUGUCACGGGAGACAAGAGCCCCUGGCCCCUCACAUUUUAACCAAUUCGGUGUCUUUGUGUUUCAUUUUCAUCGAGCCUUGGUCCAGGUACAAGCCCAUGGGUUGGACCCCUACAACCAGCUCUUCCCCUUCUAGGUGUCUUCCCUAGAGUUAACGAUACCACAUGGCAGUGGCCAUGCACACCCUUGUUUAUAGAAGCACAGUUCCUAACAGCCAAAUCCUGGAGGCAGCCUACAUAUUGAUCAACGAUCAACAGGUGAAUGGAUAAAGAAAACAGGAUAUUUAUACACAAUGGAGUACUACUCUGCCAUAAAGAAGAAUAAACGAGUGGGGUGUUGGAACCCGGAAGUACCUUGAGACCACAAUGGUAAAUGAAAUCAAUCAGACACAGAAAUUUGCUAUUACAAACCCAAGGUAUGCAUAAUUUAAAGGGCACACUGAAGAUGAUAGGAAGCAAGGAGGAGACCCAGGAUUGGAGGGAGGGGAGGUGGGGCGGGGUUGUGGAGAUGCCAUGUACACCGGUCCCAGCCGCCCAGGGUGAAUGCCCAGUGUGAAUGUGUGGCCCCAGACACAGUGGCUUUCGCUUGCAUCCGGGCCUGGCCCCAGGCUGCCUGCGGGGGGUGGGGGGAAGCGCUGGCGCCACUGUGUCCUCUGUCGGGAUGCAGAGUCAGGUCUUGGAACUCACACUGGUGUCAGCCGGGCUCGCCGUCCUGGGCUGGGUUCCCGCAGAUCCUGCUGUCAUUCGGUGAGGAAGCCGCAGCGACAGACUCUGUGUAAGUAUCUCAGCGGUUUAGACCUGGUGUCCCCAAAGUCCCCUGAGUGUGGGGGUCAUGGAUCAGCUUGGCGCGGAUUCCUCCCUGGCGCACUGUGCUGUGAGGGGGCGGGGCCUGGCUGGAGGGGCCAGAAUUAACUGGGCGAGGCGGCUCGCCUGAUAUGUAAUUACAGCAUUCAGGAGGCAGAGGCAGGAGGAUCACCGAGAGUUGCAUGCCAACCCUGGCUACCUUGAUAUCUUGUCUAAAAAAAAAAAAAGGAAAAGAAAAAGAAAAAAAGUUGCAGUAAAAGAAAAUGUCGGUAUGCUUGUUCAAUUUUCCACUAGCAAACACCUAUGAGUACAGAGGAACUUUUAAAAAUUCACUUAUUUAAGUCCUUCUGCCCAGCUUGUACCAAACCAGCGCUAAGACCUUACCUGGCCGUCUUCAGGGCAGUUGGGGGUCUGGGAGGAAGGGUUUGAGAUUUGCCACUUUGUGGGAACAGCAGCUGGUGGUGAACGGUUCCCACUGGUCAGCCUGGCUCACCAGGUGCGAGAUUCCUCCUCCUACAGGUGGUGGUGGUGGGGGGGAGCCAUGAGCCCUGAACCCCUAAUGUAACCUUAGCCUGCGGACAUUUUUUUUAAUUUUAAAGAGAUUAAGACCAAACAGGACAUAACAAAGUAGAUCUCACAUUGAGAUAUUUAUAAAUAAGUAGGUGCAACUUGAGACCAUACUCAUAAGCAAGAUAAAUCAAACUCACAUGUAUAGAUACCGUAUAGUCUCCCUAGUGUAAGAAAUGGUAAGAGUACAUAAGAGUUUAUAGUAAUCAUGAUUCCCCAUUACAUUGUUCUGAAGCCUUAUGAUGUCUGCAUUCAUUAGGUGGAAUAGUUUUAUCCUAGUUUGAUUUUAUUACCUGUGAUAGUAUGAACAGCUAGUUUGAAGAAAACAAGUCAUUAUAAUAGCCAGUGCUGAUUUUUUUUUGCCAAUGCUGAUUUAAUAUCAUCUUACUCUGAAGUCCUACCAUGCUUUUGCUCUUGUUUCCAUUGGUUCUAUCAUAUUGUAUCUUAUUGGAUUUAUUAUGUGUGAUAGUAUAAGCAAAUUUUCUAUGGAAAAUGAGAUAAUAUAGUAGUCAUUGUUUGUUUUCUGUUAUUUGGUUCUGAAUGCCCUGUAAUACUUUCAUUCUCUUUAAUGGUUUUAUACUAUUUUGUUAUAUUUGGUACUAUUGUAUAUGAAGUUAUGCUCAACUAUUUCAAAGAAAGAGACAUUAUGGUAGUUACUGUUGAUUACGGGUUGUUUUCUGGUUGAAAUACUGUGUUGCUUACAUUGUUCUUAGAGGAGUGGCCAGAAAAGGCUGCUACUAGGAGGCAAUCUGAGCCUGGAAUCAAAGAUGGGGGAGUCCUCGUAGAGGGAGCAGCCAGCAUAUCAGGGAUUGGCCUGUUGUAGGAGAGAUGCAGAGAUCCUCCUGCCUCAGCUUCCCUGGUGCUGGGAUUUCAGUGCGCUUGCUCCUGAGGAACAGAAUUCACAAAGGUGACUGUGUUGUGCCAGUGAUGAACUUGCAAACACAUUGUCCGGUCACCUCUCAGGUCUCUCUGUCUUCUCCUUUUGCCUCCGAUGCAGCCAGCUGCUGGCUGGCAGAGGACUCAGAUCUCUUGGCGACAGUCAUCAAACAUGGAGCUUCAUCAGACACUGAAGAGGAGGUGAACCCUGACGAGCCACAUGGGGCCGUUCUGAGCUGGAGCCAGCACCGCCCCAGCCAGCGUCUUCACUGCAGGCUUGUGUGCGAGAAAGCCUGAAACAGAAGGCGGCCACCCCAGGCUCCUGGGAGCCUGGAUCCCUGCCUGAGAGAAGCUGUGACAUGGUAAAUACUGUUGCUUGCAGCCUCUCAAAGCCUUGAGGGUUUGAGGUGAUUUGCUAGCAGCAAUAAAUAACUGCAUCAUCCAAGAUUGCCAUGAAGUACCACCCUUAAUGUUGUUCUCAUUUUUCUUUUCUUUCUUCCCUUCUUUCUAUUUACUUAUUUAGUUUUGGUCUUUUUGAGUCAUGACCUCAUUAUGCAGUUCAAGCUGACCUUGAGCUCACUUUGCAGUCCAGGUUCAUUUUAAAUUUGCAGCAAUCUUCCUGCUUGAGCCUCCCAAGUGCUGGGAUUUCAAGCAUACACCACCAUAUCCAAGAUUUCUGUUUAUUUAUUUAGAGAUGAGUUCUCACUAUGUUGCCCAGGCUGGCCUUGAACUCCUAGGCUCAGCCUUCUGAGAACCUGUCAUUGUCAUCACAAGCCACCUCCUUGGACUGUUGACGCCAGCAGAACUUUUCACGAUCCAAUUUUUUUGAGACUGGGUCUCACUGUGUAGCCUAGGCAGCCUUGAAUUUGCAGCAGUGUUCUGGGCUCAGCCUCCCCAGUGCUGGGAUAACAGGUGUGUACCACCAUGCCUGGCUGAUCCAAACGUUUUGCUUACAGAUUUACUUUCACUGAAAUCUGCCAUCUAAGAGGCAGCCAUCCUAAAGUUUGCCUUCAAUUGUAAAAAUCAGUCACAUUCUUUGCUCCCCAAAAUUGUCAUUUACUUUUUCCAUCCUCAUGGGGGUUUAAUUUACUAUAUUAAAAUGUUGGUUAUUUUA